UACAGAGGGUGCAAGCGUUAAUCGGAGUUACUGGGCGUAAAGGGCGCGUAGGCGGUUAGAUAAGUGAGUUGUGAAAGCCCCGGGCUUAACCUGGGAAUUGCAACUUAGACUAUGUAACUGGAGUGCAGUAGAGGGUGGUGGAAUUUCCGGUGUAGCGGUGAAAUGCGUAGAGAUCGGAAGGAACAUCAGUGGCGAAGGCGACCACCUGGACUGAGACUGACGCUGAGGCGCGAGAGCGUGGGGAGCAAACAGG
rnacentral:rRNA from 1 species